rnacentral:rRNA from 1 species
AUUAGAUACCCCGUGUAGUCCCAGCCGUAAACGAUGCGCGUUAGGUGUACCGGCGACCACGAGUUGCCGGGGUGCCGAAGGGAAACCGUGAAACGUGCCGCCUGGGAAGUACGGUCGCAAGGCUGAAACUUAAAGGAAUUGGCGGGGGAGCACUACAACGGGUGGAGCCUGCGGUUUAAUUGGACUCAACGCCGGAAAUCUCACCGGAUAAGACAGCGGAAUGAUAACCGGGCUGAAGACUCUGUUUGACCAGCUGAGAGGAGGUGCAUGGC